GGUGCGAGCGUUAAUCGGAAUUACUGGGCGUAAAGCGUGCGCAGGCGGUUAUAUAAGACAGAUGUGAAAUCCCCGGGCUCAACCUGGGAACUGCAUUUGUGACUGUAUAGCUAGAGUACGGCAGAGGGGGAUGGAAUUCCGCGUGUAGCAGUGAAAUGCGUAGAUAUGCGGAGGAACACCGAUGGCGAAGGCAAUCCCCUGGGCCUGUACUGACGCUCAUGCACGAAAGCGUGGGGAGC
rnacentral:rRNA from 1 species